GUUUUUUUUAUUACUGUAAUUAUACUUUUUUUAUUGUAAGUCUAUGUAAUAAUGUUAUAAAACUGGGAAUUCUAAUAAAAUUUUGCAUAGACUAUGUCACGUGGAGCCAAAAUGAAGCAGGUCCUAUCAGCCGCCAAUGAAGGACAAAAUAUCAAUGUGAAAAGAUUAGCGAGGGCGGAGCGCGCGGGGAGGCAAAAUUCUCAGUGCCUUACGCGGGGUGUCAAAUUUCGAUCGAUUUAACCCUGCAUCGAACACAAAGACCUAACCCCGUCCCUUCUCCCACUUCGUGCGCCGCCCCCAUCCCAUCGUCGCCGCCCCGCAUCCCUCCUACUCCUCCUCGAGCCUCCUGCAUCGCAUACUCAUAGCAGCGCCGUCCAGAUCCGUCAAAGACGGUGAGUCGCCCUUCUCUCAUAGCAGGGCCGCCAAUCUCUUCGUCCUCGUCCUCAUCCACAAUAGACGCUGCAUGGAUCUCCAGAGACGGCGCACUGGUGAUGCGGGUCUCGACGAGGCCGGCAUCAGUGGCCUUCGUCGAGGCCAAGAACUCAUGGAGCUUCAGAUCUCCAUCAGACCUAUCUGUAAGGGAAUACGGUUAGUCCAAAGUCAUUUUUUGGCUUUUCCAUCCGCUGUUGACAUAGCUGUAGACUUUCGAUCUUUGUUUAACUCCGAUGUUAGUGCUGCCGGUAUUGUCCUUGGUGGGGUGGCGACAAUGCGUUCAGGUCCACUCACGCCUGGCUGCUGCUGCACGUUCAAGCAUGAGCAGUCCCGUCGCCGGCAUCACAGGACGAGUGGCAGCCUAGAAGCAGUUUCUAUCACAGACGACGGGCUCAGAUUCUUGUGCAUAGAAAAAACAUUAUGCACGCCAUGGAUGCAUGUUAAUAUAUUUAUAGUCUAUAUCGUGUGUUGGAUGUGGUACUUUUUACAUGUUGGAGUAGUACUAAUAAGUCUCUAAUUAAUCCAGCAAUUCAGCGUGCGUGCGUAGUGUGUUGUAUCUAGCAAGAACCGAUCAGUCUGAUGGUUAGCUUUCUAACUAUUGUGUACGUUGAUUCAUCGUUAAUCAAUUAAUACAGAUGGAGUUUGCUUUGUGCAGGAUCAUGUCAAAGAGGAAUUGCCAUCCUUUGUCGUCAUCAUGGUCGCCCCAUGCCGAAAAGUACUCGCGUAUGAAUGGGGCCAAGUCGGCGAAUCGUCAUCAGCGAGCUAGAAUGUUCGAUGGGUUCACUCACAUAUAUUUUCUCAAAAGAUAAGGGAUAUAAAAUAUAGAAUCUUCCAACUUUCGGAGACAAUGUGUCUUUGAAGGGGAAAGUCUAAAUGUUGGACAAAGCAUAUUGGACUACAAAGUUAUCCAAGCAGCAAGAGGAAGUAGCAAGUAUGUCAACCCGUCUACUCUGUAUUGAUUUUUUAUUCAGAUUACACAAAUCCAUGCAUUUUUUAUAUAGUCCGAAUUCUUAGUUUCAGUCCUUCUAACAUUGCAUCUAUCAGAUGUGAGUCUAAUUGUUGAGUAUCACGGGAGACGAAACAGAACCAAUGUAUGGAAUAGUUAUUAAAAUCAAGAUGCCAUCUAUCUAUCAUAUUAUCACUUUACAUGCUACUGUUGUUGUAUCAUUACAUUGAUUGGUGCAACAGAAAAAGUGUUUCUUGAAUAAUCCUACUUACAUUGCUCCACUCUUGGACAAGAUGAAGAAGGGAAAAUAAGAGUUGUCAUUUUGUUAUGAAGGAUUAAGAGCAGCUAAAGCUUCUUCCACUAUGGGAUCUAAGACAACCAAUGAACAAGAUAAUUUUCUCAUGUUGUCCUUCCCUAUAUCUAAGCUCACUUUACAUGACUCGUUAACUAGAAUUUUUUUAUUUCUUGAUUGUAGGAUCCAAAGAACUAGUUGGACUGGACUCUACAUCAUGGACAGUUUAGUCUUCGUAGUUAAUUAGGAUGGCUAAAUUACAUUUGAGUUUCAUUUGAUGGAUAUUUGCUACGAGAAUUAUGAAUUUUAUGAAUCUACAUAUCAUACAUAUGGUUUUGAAUAUUGUCA